GUGUACAAUACCCUUGGGGUGAGCUACAAGCGCGAGAACAAACUGGACAAGGCAAUCAAGCAAUUCGAGAAGGUCGUGGAGCUCCGACCAGGCUUUGUGACAGCGUCGAACAACCUCGGCGAUGCAUAUGAGCAGCAGAAGGACCUCGCGUCCGCGCUCAGGGCAUUCGAGGAUGUAUUGCUCUUUAAUCCAAAAAACAAGGUGGCAAGGCCGCGCCGAGAUGACCUCAAGUCGCGUGUUGGCAUGUACAAGGGCGUGCCAGUGAAGACGACGGACAAGCGAUAG
rnacentral:rRNA from 1 species